rnacentral:tRNA from 1 species
CAAAUUAGAGCUUGAUUUUAAAGUGUUUCAUUUACAUUGAAAAGAAAUUAUUUAUUUAAUUAAUUUGA